rnacentral:lncRNA from 7 species
GACGAAUUAGGGAGAGAGGAAGCAGGAGUUGGUUUACCGGAGGGAGCUGGGGAGCUGGCGACUUCCUUGACCUGCUCGAGAGAGGCAGAGGCCCUGAGAGAGCGGGUUCUUCGGCGUCGGAGCGAGCUGGGAGCACGCAGCAGGCACCUUCCGGAGGCGGCGAGGUGCACGGUGCUGGCCGGCGGCGGCGUGGAGCGUCGGGCGGAGGGGCCAGCGCGUAGGAUGAGGGUCUGCGUCUGCAUGGUGGCCGGUGGUGGAGGGGGUGCCGCGGCGGGUGGCUGCGGAUGGGGUUGUGGGGUUUUGUAAGGCGGGCGGCGAGCGGGAGUCGGGAGUGGCGGUGGAGCCCCCGCGGAUAGCGGCCACCGGCUACAGGUCUCGGGUGAGUGUGCCGCUGCAAGGGAAGCCACGUCGGCCGCCGGCGCCGAGUAAAUUAUUUAUCGCCUUUUUCCAUUUUAUUUACCAUGAGUAUAUGCAUGGCAUUCCUUCCAUCGUUUAUUAUUUUCUCUCGAAAAAAAAAGAAUAUGUCUUUGCUAGUAAAAGAGAACGAGUACGGAGUUGUUGAGCAUAA